GAACCUGCGGAAGGAUCAUUCGUGUACUUUUGUGAUGUUGUAAGUGACAUGCAGUUGUAAGCUUUGGGCAGGCAUUGGACUUUACUCCUGCUCUGAAGGUUAAGGCAGUAGUUAUUCUGGCACGUCCAAAUAACUACUGCGUCGAAUUUAGAUUACGUUGAUGUACUUGUUAUGAUGAUCACAUCAAAACAAUGUUUUCAGCAACAGAUGUCUCGGCUCAGAUGACCAUGAAGGGUGCAGCGAAAUGCAAUAAACAUUGUGAAUUGCAGGUUUCUGUGAACCAAUAGGUUUUCGAAUGUAUGCGAUGCUUCUGGGAUAUUCUUGCAAGCAAAUUUGCUUCAGGAUUCAUUAAUAUAUUGUUCAUUCACAUGCUGUGUCGUGUGAGGAUUGUGCACAUCAAGGCAAGCUUGUCAUUGAUGUGUUUAAGCAAGCAUGUUAAAUAAUCACUUUUGUAAUGCGUUUUUCGCAACUGUAAAUGUGGCAGGUGCUGCAGCCAUGCAUGCUCUUGCAUUUUUGUUCUGUGCUGCAUUAGAAUAUGACAUCAAGUAGGUUCACCCACUGAAUUUAAGCAUAUCAAUAAGC
rnacentral:rRNA from 1 species